GCUGCCUUGGCGCAAUGGUAGCGCGUCUGCCUCCUACUAGCGGGACUUGAACCCGCCUAGUAGUGUCAGCAGAAGGUUGCGGGUUCGAGUCCCGUUGGUAGUA